rnacentral:rRNA from 1 species
UACAGAGGUCCCAAGCGUUGUUCGGAUUCACUGGGCGUAAAGGGUGCGUAGGUGGUCGGGUAAGUCUGAGGUGAAAUCUCCGAGCUCAACUCGGAAACUGCCUUGGAUACUAUUCGGCUCGAGGGUUGGAGGGGGGACUGGAAUUCUCGGUGUAGCAGUGAAAUGCGUAGAUAUCGAGAGGAACACCAGUGGCGAAGGCGAGUCCCUGGACAACUCCUGACACUGAGGCACGAAAGCUAGGGGAGCAAACAGG